UACGUAGGGGGCAAGCGUUGUCCGGAAUCAUUGGGCGUAAAGAGCGCGUAGGCGGUCCGGUAAGUCCGCUCUGAAAGUCCGGGGCUCAACCCCGGGAGGCGGGCGGAUACUGUCGGGCUAGAGUCCGGAAGAGGCGAGUGGAAUUCCUGGUGUAGCGGUGAAAUGCGCAGAUAUCAGGAGGAACACCAAUGGCGAAGGCAGCUCGCUGGGGAGUACCUGACGCUCAGGUGCGAAAGCCAGGGGAGCGAACGGG
rnacentral:rRNA from 1 species